rnacentral:sRNA from 1 species
CCUGAGUGGAACAUGGCGACUUGCGCCGAAAUCCUGCGGAGCGAGUUCCCCGAAAUUGACGGACAAGUCUUCGACUACGUGACCGGCGUCUUGCACAGCGGCAGCGCGGACUUCGAGUCUGUGGAUGACCUGGUGGAAGCUGUAGGGGAACUAUUGCAAGAGGUGUCCGGGGACAGCAAGGAUGACGCGGGCAUCAGGGCCGUGUGCCAGCGCAUGUACAACACUCUGCGUCUGGCUGAGCCACAAAGCCAGGGAAAUAGCCAGGUGCUACUGGACGCCCCUAUCCAGUUGUCAAAGAUAACGGAGAACUACGACUGUGGAACCAAACUUCCAGGACUGCUAAAGAGGGAACAGUCCUCGACAGUGAAUGCAAAGAAGUUAGAGAAGGCCGAGGCUCGACUUAAGGCAAAGCAGGAGAAGCGCUCAGAGAAGGACACGCUCAAGACCAGCAACCCUCUGUGAGUGGGGGAAGCAUGGCUCAGAAGAGAGCAGAGCAGCUUUUGCCUGGACAGAAGGUGGUGGGGAGCACUAAGAGCUGUCCAUUUCUCCCUUUAAAGAGUCUUAGAAGAGGCAUCAGCCAGCCAGGCAGGCAGCAGAAAGGAGAGUCGGUUGGAAUCAUCUGGCAAGAACAAAUCCUAUGAUGUGCGAAUUGAGAACUUUGAUGUGUCUUUUGGCGAUAGAGUACUGCUGGCUGGAGCGGAUGUGAACCUGGCAUGGGGCCGCCGUUACGGGCUGGUGGGGCGGAAUGGGUUGGGGAAGACAACGUUACUGAAGAUGCUGGCCACCCGGAGUCUGCGGGUUCCAGCCCACAUUUCCCUGCUGCACGUUGAGCAAGAGGUUGCUGGAGAUGACACUCCUGCCCUGCAGAGUGUGCUGGAGAGUGACAGUGUGCGAGAGGAUUUGCUACGGAGGGAGCGGGAGCUCAGUGCCCAGAUUGCUGCUGGCAGGGCGGAGGGCUCUGAAGCUGCAGAGCUGGCAGAAAUCUAUGCCAAACUGGAGGAGAUUGAGGCUGAC